CAGCUACAGCUGAGAUUUGCCAGGAUCAAAUCACAAGGUCAUUUUUAAGGAGAUUCUCACUGACAUUUUGUGAGUUGCUGUAUUUUGACCCAGAGGUGAAACCUCAAAAAGUCAGUAAAGUGGAUAUUGUAGGAAACCUGUAGGAACUUGUUCCACCAGGGAAGUUUAAGAGGAAGUUUGUGUGUCUAUGAAUACACUAAUGCGUCCUCAGAUUGACUCUGCUGGAGUGAGCGAUGGUUGAAGAGAUGGUGUGUACAGCACCAACCGUUUCUGACCCUUCAAUUACUGCAUUGUCUAGAGCUGCUCAGAUGAUGGUUAACGACAAUCUUGCAAUUAACAUACUGUGCACUGGUGGCCAGCUUCCACUAGGCCAUUUACCAGCGAUACCAGAGAGGGUCUAAUCCAAAGCCCAGUGACCAUCAAUGUGAGAUUUGCUUUGUUUUGAGUGGGAAUUGUAUCAGACCGUUAUUUCCACUGAUGAAAGAUAAACCAUCUUGGGGCUAAUAAAUCUUACAGUUCCAUAUAAUCCCUGGUGUUCUUCCCAAUACUUAACAGAGCUCUGCUCUCACCAGUUAUUUAAAUUAGUCUGAAGCUAAAUGGAUUUUUUCAUAGGCUAAUAUGUACAUUACACAGAAUCUCCUU